UACGUAGGGUGCGAGCGUUGUCCGGAAUUAUUAGGCGUAAAGGGCUCGUAGGCGGUUUGUCGCGUCGGGAGUGAAAACGCCGUGCUUAACACGGCGCUUGCUUUCGAUACGGGCAGACUAGAGGUAUGCAGGGGGAGAACGGAAUUCCUGGUGUAGCGGUGAAAUGCGCAGAUAUCAGGAGGAACACCGGUGGCGAAGGCGGUUCUCUGGGCAUUACCUGACGCUGAGGAGCGAAAGUGUGGGGAGCGAACAGG
rnacentral:rRNA from 1 species